AAUUAUCCCAUGAUGAUGAAGUUUUUAUGGAAGACAGGGAAGAAACAGCUGAUGUUGAGAAAACAGGAUUCAGAUGUGGUGUCUGUCAAAAGGUCAUAAAAAAGAAAGGGGGAUAUACUGUGCAUAUGCAAAUGCACUCAAAGGCGAAAGAUAAAUACAGGAAGCCAGAGCACAGAUGCCCAUUCUGCAAAAUUGGUCAAACGCAAUUAUCCAGACACAUAUCUAAACAGCAUCAGGACAUUCCUGAAGUUUCCGAGGCUAUGAAAUUUCCCAAAAACUCAAAAGAAAGAAAUGCAAUGUUUGAGAAUUUUAGAAAGCGUGGGAUCUAUGAAUUCAACAAAAACCAGUCGGGAGAAGAUACACCAGAAUUUGAAGCUGAGAGAAAAGGACAGAAAGAUCUUGUAUGCUGCUCUUUGUGUAAGGGAUUUUAUAGUCGGCGUCUCUACCAUAGACACAAGGACCUAUGCAUGAAGGAUAGCACAUUUGUCCCCAGUUCCGUGCCAGUUGAAAUGCUGCAUUUGAAGGAGAGUACAACAAAGGAGCAAGAUGUAUUUUCUAAAGAAGUAUUACUUCAUUUUCAUCCUGAUGAGGUCGGCAAAACAUGCCAAACUGAACCAACAAUAGUUGCUAUUGGAAGAAUUCUCUUUCAAAAAAACUUAAGAAAAAUUGAAAAGACGAUGGAAACAAGAAAAUCGGUGAUGAACGAUAUGCGUCUUUUGUCAAGAUUACUCAUUGCAUUCCGAGGCAAGUCACAUCAUGGCAUGACAGGGGAAGACAUGUUUCGUCGUCGAAACUUUACAAUAUUGGAGCAAGCAGUUGAGGAGGUGACCACCACUGAAGGGAGGCUCAAGUAUGGUUUAAAAAACUCAUUGUUCUAUCUCCUGAGACAAUCAGCCAAUCUUCUCAUGCUGCGUUCAUUUGGAGAAGAAGAGGAUGCCAAAGCAAGUGAAAUAGAAAAAUUUAUUCAUUUGCUAGAUUUAAACCAGAACAUUUUAUUUGGAGAUGCAGCUUAUUCAAUCAAUAGAAGUAGACAGGAAAGACUGAGAAUGCCAGAACAGCAAGCAAGAGAAGAGGAAGUCACCACCUUGAGGGUUCAUACUCUGAAUACAAUUGAGAGAUUGAUGUCAGAGUAUGAAUUCAUUGGGCGUAACGAAUAUGUUACUCUCCGAGAUGCUGUGUGCUGCAGAAUUACUCUGUUUAACGCACGACGGGGUGGUGAGCCAUCACGACUGAAAACUACAAAUUUGGAUGACGCAGUUACCAAGAGAUGGAUCGAUGACUCCAGAGUGGAACAGUUGGAGACCUGGGAGAAAAAGCUCUUCGGUGAAAUGCUUGUUGCAUACCAGGCUGGGAAAGGGAACCAUUUAGUUCCAGUCCUGAUCCCAAGAGACUGUGUCGGUGCCUUGUCCAUACUUACUGACAAAGACAAGAGGAAGGAAGUUGGGAUUCUGGAGGAAAAUCCUUAUGUAUUUCCAAACACACAACAGUCACCAUAUCAUGUGCUAGGUUGGGAUGCGAUAAGGAGUAUGUGUGAUGCAGCUGGUGUGAAGCAUCCAGAGUUGUUGACAGCAUCAAAACAACGACACAGGAUCAGUACCAUAUAUGCUUCACUUGAAGUUCCUACUUCUGACAGAGAAUACUUCUACAAACAUAUGGGACACAGCAAGGGUGUCAAUGAAGGGGUCUACCAGUACCCUCUCCCAAUUCAAGAAGUUACCAAAGUUGGGAAACACCUACUUCAAAUUGAUCAAGGUGAUGCUCCUCUGGCGACUGAGUCUGGGAUUCAAAGCCAACCUGACAUGGUUGCAAUAGCCGAGCAACAGGAAGAAGAUGCCCAUGACGUAAAUACAGGCUCUCUGUGUCUUACCAGUCCAGGUUUAGUGGAGAAAAACCCAAGAGAUUUUGAUACCAAAAGAUUCAAGUGGACAGAGGCAAAUACAAGACUGAUUAGAGACACAUUUAAGGAGUGGAUAUGUCUACCAAGUGGCAAUUCGUUGCCAAACAGGAAAACAGUUCUUGCAUACCUUCAGAGCUCAAAGCUUGACUGUUCAUAUGCUCAGCUUAGAACCAAAAUCAUGAAUGAACAGAACAAACAACAACAAAGGAGAAAGAAGAGAUGGAACGCAUUUCAGGAAAAUUAGAUAACUGAACAUUAAAAUACAGUGUAAUGCAUAUUUAGCUCUGUCAACACAUGGUAAACUUCUUCCCUUUAAUUGUCAGACUGAGUGACCUGGACUUUAGCACCUACAUGUAUGUAACUAUCCCUCUCAACUUGUGAGGGGUAUUAAGACCAUAACUAUCUUUCGGAAUACCCUGUGUGGUUUUUUUUUAGGUUGCACCAUCAAAAAUCACAUUUUAACUGUCACUUUCAUGAUCUGAUAAGCGAUGCUCUGAUUGGUCAGAUGAAAGGUCGUUCUGACAUGACCCACAAUGAGAUGUCCUCAGAUCUUUGUUUAGCAGUAGCGAGAACUAAGAUCUGAUUUUAAUGAGAUUGUUGCUAUGCUGGAUAGCCCUUUGGAAUGAUCUCGAAAUAUUUGCUGUGCAGACUAGCCCUUUGGAAUGUGCUUGAAAUACUUGCUAUGUAGAAUAGCCCUUUGGAAUGUGCUUGAAAUAUUUGUUGUGCAGACUAGCCCUUUGGAAUGUGCUUGAAAUACUUGCUGUGCAGACUAGCCCUUUGGAAUGUGCUUGAAAUACUUGCAAUGCAAGAUAUCCCUUUGGAAUGUGCUUGAAAUACUUGCUAUGUAGAAUAGCCCUUUGGAAUGUGCUUGAAAUAUUUGUUGUGCAGACUAGCCCUUUGGAAUGUGCUUGAAAUACUUGCUAUGUAGAAUAGCCCUUUGGAAUGUGCUUGAAAUAUUUGUUGUGCAGACUAGCCCUUUGGAAUGUGCUUGAAAUACUUGCUGUGCAGACUAGCCCUUUGGAAUGUGCUUGAAAUACUUGCAAUGCAAGAUAUCCCUUUGGAAUGUGCUUGAAAUACUUGCUACUUGCUGGUUGAAAUUUAGUACCAAGGUAAUUAUGGAAGCCCAUAUUCCUGUCUUAUUAAUUAUCCUUGUAUGUAUCAUUGUAUAUAUGUAUCAAUGUAUGUUUCAUUGUGUGUAUGUAUCAUCGACAUGGGUAAAAUGUGUGAAGCCCAUUUUUGGUGUCCCCUGCAGUGAUAUUGCUGGAAUGUUGCUUAAAGCGGCGUAAAAUCAUACUCACUCACUUACUCACUCACAUGUAUGUAUCAUGGUUUGUAUGUAUCAUUGUAUGUUUGUAUCAUUGAUCGUAAAUGAUGUUUCCCUCGUUUGAAGUAGUGAAUUAGAGGGAAACUACUUUCUCCUAGUGGUACGUUCUAUAAUCAAGGGAGGUAAUAAUGCCAGUAGAUGGCGCUGAUACUUGGGGCUAUAUAAGGGUAGGAUUUUAUGAUGUCGCCUCUCUCGCUUGCAAUCACGGCAGUUCAAUUAACAACAUGACUGAUGAAUCAACCGCGGCAAAACUAGAUGCCAUCUUGGUUCAGCUUAAUUCAAACAAGACAGAAAUUGAAUUGGCAAUCGAUUCCAAGUUAACCUCAAUACGAAAAGAGUUUCUGCAGACAUCUGAAGACGUAAGAAACAUAAAAGCCGAAAAAGAAUACAGCUGGUCACGGGAGGGAAACAAGGUCAAGAGCCAGGUCCACGACUUUCACUACACAGCCUGUGCAGUUUGCUUUACCUGCUUCUUCUGGUGUGCAGUCGAUUCCACCAAUCAACAACCAGCUUUUUCGAGGCAAAGGUCAGCGACAAGGAUCAUGUUUUCACUGCGGAGAAUUCACGCACUUCAGAAGAGACUGUCCCUAUCUCAACGCAAAUGUCCAGACUGCAAGGAUGUCAAGCAGCGUCCCGUCAGCAACCGCCACGCAGUAGAGAGGGCACAUGCCAAGGUCUAUCAGCUAAGUGUUCAUCUACACAAUGUUUCGAUGCAUGUAAUCUUAAAUUGACUGAUAAUUACUUUGAAUAUGAGCAGGGUGCUGCAGAAAUUGUCGUUAAAGUUUGUUUGAAACAGAAUGAAAACUUUUGGCAACAGAUAGGUGCAAGUGACUUUGUUUUAGAUAUAAUCAAAAAUGGAUACAAAAUUCCAUUUUUGUGUAUGUCACCCAAAAUGCACUUGCAUAAUAACAAGUGUGCCUUAAAUAACGCUGAUUUUGUGUGUGAAGCUGUAUAAGAGCUUGAAGCUGUAUAAGAGCUUGUCAAGAAACAACUAGUUGUUGAGUGUGAUAUCCUGCCGUAUGUUGUUAAUCCUCUAUCUGUCGCUAUACAGUCAUCGGGUAAGAAACGCUUGAUUUUAGACCUGAGUAUCGUCAACAGGUUUGUGCUCAAAAAGACUUUGAAAUUUGAAGAUUGGAAAACUGCUUUAGAAUAAAUCAGUGCAAAUGAUUGGCUAAUCAAGUUUGACAUCCAUUCAGCAUAUCAUCAUAUAGAUAUCUACGGAGGGCAUACUGACUUUUUGGGCUUUGCUUGGAAUGCCCCUGAUGGAAAAACACAUUUUUAUAAGUUUGUAGUACUUCCCUUUGGACUGACAACAGCUCCAUACGUUUUUACAAAAGUCACUCGCCAGCUUGUCAAGAAGUGGCGUUUUGAAGGACAUAAGAUAGUCACAUACUUGGAUGAUGGUAUAUUAUCAGCAGAGUCAGAAUUAAGAGCACUAAAUUCAGGUUCUGUCAUUAAAAAUGACUUGAUUAAGUCGGGGUUUGUACCUAAAGUUGACAAAUCUUUAUGGGCACCUUCACAGUCCUUGGAAUGGCUCGGUUUUCACAUUCAGACUACAAAUAUGACUAUAUCUGUACCUCACAGGAAGAUAGUCAAGGUGAAGUGUUCAAUUACUGACCUAUUAAAAUCCAAUUCAAAGAAUGUCAAAGUGCGAGAUGUAGCUUCUGUUGUCGGUCAGCUAGUGUCCAUGAAACUGGUCCUGGGGCCGUUAUCACAGCUUAUGACAAGGUCAUUAAGCAUAGACAUACUUUUGGUUUCUUCUUGGCAUAGUUCAUUAAAACUUUCAUGUGACAGUAUUCAUCAAUUGAAAUUUUGGCUGGGUAAUAUUGACAAACAUUCUUCAAGAGCACUUGUUGAAAAAUCUCUUACUACAAGACUUGUUUAUUCUGAUGCCAGUGAUAGUGGUUUUGGUGGGUACUGUGUUGAGAUUGAUUCUGACAAGUCCCAUGGUCAGUGGUCUGCGGAAGAAGCUCGUCAGAGUUCUACAUGGAGGGAGUUAAAGGCUGUUCACUUGACAUUACUGAGCUUUAUUCCCAACCUGAAGAGCAACCGUGUUAUGUGGUGUACAGACAAUACAAACAUUGUGUCAGUCAUUGAGAAAGGCAGCAUGAAAAUACAUUUGCAAACAUUGACUUUACAUAUAUUUGAAAUAUGUACAAAACAGUCAAUACAGUUGUACAUGCAGUGGAUUCCACGAUGUGAUAAUCAGACAGCUGACUAUCUUAGCAGAAUGAUUGAUUAUGAUGACUGGGGUAUUUCAAAGACCAUAUUUCAGCAAAUUGAACAGAAAUGGGGUCCACAUCAAACAGACAGAUUUGCGUCAUAUUAUAACACUAAACUUCAGUGUUUUAAUUCCAGGUACAGCAAUCCUGGAAGUGACGUUGUGGACUGUUUCACUGUCAACUGGAGUGGAGUUAGGAAUUGGGUGGUUCCUCCUGUAUGUUUGAUUCCGAGGGCAAUCAAACACAUGUCAGAAUGUAAGGCUAAGGGUACCCUUGUGAUACCAGAGUGGCACUCUGCUUGUUUCUGGCCAUUGAUAUGUCCCAACUCAGUAUUCAUUCCACAGGUGAGAGAUUGGAUGUAUUUGCCACGAUCGAAGGAGGCUUAUGUUGCCAGUAGAAUAAAGGGUGGCAUGUUUGGAGAGAAAGAUCUUUCAUUUAACAUGUUAGCGCUUAAGAUUGAUUAAGACCGUAUUUUGGGUGUUUCAGAUAUAUUUCGGACAAACUAUAGUGAUGAGAUUGCUACACUUCCGAGAGGUGUCCGCGAAUUAGCAGCGGCUCUGCCAGGCCUCUUAGCAGGGUGUAGAGCUGAUUCUACAACAAGAAAGUAUACAUAUGGCUUUGGAGCUUGGAAAAGGUGGGCGAUCGUCAAUUCUAUGUCUGUAAAAUUGCCAUUGUCGUCAUUGUACUGUGCUUUAUACCUGUUAUCUGUAAUUCAGCAGAGUGAUUCUAUAUCUCCUGUUCAGACAGCGUUCUAUAGCAUCCGUCAUGCUCAUACUUGUAUUGGUUUAGCAAGUCCAACUGAUAAUUCACUGGUGCGUAAUGUCUUGGAGGCAGCAAGGCGAAAAUUGGCUAAGGAUGUAUGUAAGAAGGAGCCAAUUACCAUUAGCCGGCUAGAAAAGUUGUAUGAUGGUAGAAUGGCAGAUCCAUCACUGUAUGAUUUGAGAAUUAUGUCAAUGUGCUUAUUAGCCUUUGCUGGGUUUUUAAGGUCAGCAGAAUUGUUGCAGAUCACGAGAUCAGACAUUGUAUUUUAUGAUGCUCAUAUGAUGGUAUUCAUUGAGCAGUCUAAGACUGAUGUCUACAGAGAUGGGGCGUGGCUGGCUAUUGGGCGGACAAACACCAAGCUUUGUCCAGUGGCAUUUCGUUUUGAGAUGUGGACGUGUGGCGGUGAGGCCACAUUCUGUUAUGGUCAUCUGUCUCUGUUGACAGGCCAUGUGUGUUGAUGAUGCUGGAGAGCUGUUAAAAUACUCAUUGGUAUAAUCGUGUUUACUACCACAUGUGAAUUGUGGCUGCAGAGCCUUUAGAAUACUUUGUAUAUAUGUUUGCAUUUCAUUGGCUACACAAUGUACGGUAGGCUGCAGAGCCAUUAGAAUACUUGGUCUUGGAAAUGUUCGGUUGGCAGAACCAUUAUAAUACUGCUGUAUUGGGUGUGUGUGACCCAUGUUAGAUGAGUAAAAUAAGGCUUUUGUGUAUAAUUUGUAUUUGUAAAAGUAUGUUGGACAUGUGUAAAGGGUAAUUCAAAUACUGUAUACUCCCCAGUUACUGGUCCUGUUGCAUUCGUAGGGAGAACACGGUUCCAGAGCUUUUUGUAUUAACAAAAUUUUUAUCUCUGGUUUUACGUGUCGGGCUUCAGGUACCAUUGCCAUUUGUAUGUUUCGAUAUGUUAUAUUCUAUAUGUUAUAACACAUGUUAUAAUGGUAUAUUGAGUGACGUGAUGUCACUGUGUGUUGUGUCUUGCGUCUUGUGCUUCGAAAAUAAACUGCCGUGUACCGCACAGCUGUUCCAGUGUA
rnacentral:misc_RNA from 1 species